GUUGAUCCACUGCUGCUUGUUGAAGGCGUCGCUCGCCUGGAAGCAGUGCGUCUGCAGCUGGCUUCCUGACCGGCACGAAACCCGGAAGAAGUUCUUGGCUGAGAAGAGAAGAAAGCCCCUCUGAUGGACCCGCCCACUCUCAGCUCGCCGUCCGAUACGUCCUCCAGGUCCAGCUGGCGGAUGGGGAUUGGCUGGCGGCAGAGCUGGUAGCUGACCGGCUGGCUGUUCAGCGAAACCGACCGGGUGAUCACCAAAAUGUCCUGGAACAGAAACACGUGGAGCUUCUGCAAAACCACAGAAAAAUGAUGAAAGUUUGCUCUCCGUGGCAGCUGAGCGUCUUGGAUCCGUCGAUCAGUUCGUUCCGCCGUCCUUCCUCCGAGUACAGCAGACGGUCCUUAUAGUGCUGACACUCCGACUCUCCGGUCCGCCGGUUGAUGUCUGCCACCACGCUCUGCACCACCAGCAUCUGCAGGGCCACAGACGAGCUACUUACAGUACGCUGCCUUCAGAUGGCGAACAAAACCGGGAAAUUAUGACUUCCGGGUCGGAAAAAUCCAAGUGCUGCCGGUCCAGGUGGUCGUUGGGCGUGUGCUUCAGGAUCUCUCUGAGCAGCAGCGGGUACUUCACCAGCCGGCUGCGAGGGAUGUCCAGGAAGUUCCAC